rnacentral:rRNA from 2 species
GCGUUGGCCCAAUUGAUUGAUGGUGCUUGCACCUGAUUGAUUUUGGUCGCCAACGAGUGGCGGACGGGUGAGUAACACGUAGGUAACCUGCCCAGAAGCGGGGGACAACAUUUGGAAACAGAUGCUAAUACCGCAUAACAGCGUUGUUCGCAUGAACAACGCUUAAAAGAUGGCUUCUCGCUAUCACUUCUGGAUGGACCUGCGGUGCAUUAGCUUGUUGGUGGGGUAACGGCCUACCAAGGCGAUGAUGCAUAGCCGAGUUGAGAGACUGAUCGGCCACAAUGGGACUGAGACACGGCCCAUACUCCUACGGGAGGCAGCAGUAGGGAAUCUUCCACAAUGGGCGCAAGCCUGAUGGAGCAACACCGCGUGAGUGAAGAAGGGUUUCGGCUCGUAAAGCUCUGUUGUUAAAGAAGAACACGUAUGAGAGUAACUGUUCAUACGUUGACGGUAUUUAACCAGAAAGUCACGGCUAACUACGUGCCAGCAGCCGCGGUAAUACGUAGGUGGCAAGCGUUAUCCGGAUUUAUUGGGCGUAAAGAGAGUGCAGGCGGUUUUCUAAGUCUGAUGUGAAAGCCUUCGGCUUAACCGGAGAAGUGCAUCGGAAACUGGAUAACUUGAGUGCAGAAGAGGGUAGUGGAACUCCAUGUGUAGCGGUGGAAUGCGUAGAUAUAUGGAAGAACACCAGUGGCGAAGGCGGCUACCUGGUCUGCAACUGACGCUGAGACUCGAAAGCAUGGGUAGCGAACAGGAUUAGAUACCCUGGUAGUCCAUGCCGUAAACGAUGAGUGCUAGGUGUUGGAGGGUUUCCGCCCUUCAGUGCCGGAGCUAACGCAUUAAGCACUCCGCCUGGGGAGUACGACCGCAAGGUUGAAACUCAAAGGAAUUGACGGGGGCCCGCACAAGCGGUGGAGCAUGUGGUUUAAUUCGAAGCUACGCGAAGAACCUUACCAGGUCUUGACAUCUUGCGCCAACCCUAGAGAUAGGGCGUUUCCUUCGGGAACGCAAUGACAGGUGGUGCAUGGUCGUCGUCAGCUCGUGUCGUGAGAUGUUGGGUUAAGUCCCGCAACGAGCGCAACCCUUGUUACUAGUUGCCAGCAUUAAGUUGGGCACUCUAGUGAGACUGCCGGUGACAAACCGGAGGAAGGUGGGGACGACGUCAGAUCAUCAUGCCCCUUAUGACCUGGGCUACACACGUGCUACAAUGGACGGUACAACGAGUCGCGAACUCGCGAGGGCAAGCAAAUCUCUUAAAACCGUUCUCAGUUCGGACUGCAGGCUGCAACUCGCCUGCACGAAGUCGGAAUCGCUAGUAAUCGCGGAUCAGCAUGCCGCGGUGAAUACGUUCCCGGGCCUUGUACACACCGCCCGUCACACCAUGAGAGUUUGUAACACCCAAAGUCGGUGGGGUAACCUUUUAGGAGCCAGCCGCCUA